GUGUGGUCGCCAUCCCUCCAAGCGUAUUUUAUCUGAACCCUGAGGACGGAAAGAACCUGGUGAGGUUCACCUUCUGCAAGGAUGAUGACACGUUGAGAGCUGCGGUGGAAAGGAUGAAGACAAAGCUCAGGAAAAAAUGAUGGGGGCAAUUUCAUGUAGCUUUUGCUCUUUUGAAUAAAAUCUGCUUGAUCUGAACUGCACAUCAUUUUAUGUGACACUUUUCUAGCAGUAAUUACAUACCCUGUCAGUGAUUUCAUCUCUUGCGUCGUUACUAUAUCUGUCUGUGUAAGCCGAUGCUGAUGGAUCAGGUACCUGCCGCCUGCCGGUACAACUUUUAAGUAGAACAACCUGCGGCUGCUAUUUGCUCAAGCUUUUUCACCUGCCCUAUCAAUCUAUCAUCAAUCCAUCAAGUGACCAAAGCCAUGCUUUUGUAUUCGUAGGAG
rnacentral:lncRNA from 1 species